rnacentral:tRNA from 1 species
GCCAGCGUGGUGUAGUGGUUUGAGUAUUUGGCUAGGACUCUGGAGACGGGGUUCGAUUCCCAGCUUGGCC